rnacentral:rRNA from 1 species
AGCGAAAGCGUGGGGAGCGAACAGGAUUAGAUACCCUGGUAGUCCACGCCGUAAACGAUGAGUGCUAAGUGUUAGGGGGUUUCCGCCCCUUAGUGCUGCAGCUAACGCAUUAAGCACUCCGCCUGGGGAGUACGGUCGCAAGACUGAAACUCAAAGGAAUUGACGGGGGCCCGCACAAGCGGUGGAGCAUGUGGUUUAAUUCGAAGCAACGCGAAGAACCUUACCAGGUCUUGACAUCCUCUGACAAUCCUAGAGAUAGGACGUCCCCUUCGGGGGCAGAGUGACAGGUGGUGCAUGGUUGUCGUCAGCUCGUGUCGUGAGAUGUUGGGUUAAGUCCCGCAACGAGCGCAACCCUUGAUCUUAGUUGCCAGCAUUCAGUUGGGCACUCUAAGGUGACUGCCGGUGACAAACCGGAGGAAGGUGGGGAUGACGUCAAAUCAUCAUGCCCCUUAUGACCUGGGCUACACACGUGCUACAAUGGACAGAACAAAGGGCAGCGAAACCGCGAGGUUAAGCCAAUCCCACAAAUCUGUUCUCAGUUCGGAUCGCAGUCUGCAACUCGACUGCGUGAAGCUGGAAUCGCUAGUAAUCGCGGAUCAGC